rnacentral:rRNA from 1 species
UACGUAGGGCGCAAGCGUUGUCCGGAAUUAUUGGGCGUAAAGAGCUCGUAGGUGGUUUGUCGCGUCGUCUGUGAAAUCCCGGGGCUUAACUCCGGGCGUGCAGGCGAUACGGGCAUAACUUGAGUGCUGUAGGGGAGACUGGAAUUCCUGGUGUAGCGGUGAAAUGCGCAGAUAUCAGGAGGAACACCGAUGGCGAAGGCAGGUCUCUGGGCAGUAACUGACGCUGAGGAGCGAAAGCAUGGGUAGCGAACAGG